AGCAGCCGCGGUAAUUCCAGCUCCAAUAGCGUAUAUUAAAGUUGUUGCAGUUAAAAAGCUCGUAGUUGAAUUUCGGGACCAUCAUGUUGGUCGUGCCUCGGUACGUACUGGCAUUGUUGGUUUCUCCCUUCUGACGAACCAUGAUGUCAUUUAUUUGGUGUCGUGGGAAAUCAGGACUGUUACUUUGAAAAAUUAGAGUGUUUAAAGCAGGCUCACGCUUGAAUACAUUAGCAUGGAAUAAUGAAAUAGGACGUUUGAUUCUAUUUUGUUGGUUUCUAGGAUCGACGUAAUGAUUAAUAGGGAUAGUUGGGGGCAUUAGUAUUCAAUUGUCAGAGGUGAAAUUCUUGGAUUUAUUGAAGACUAACUACUGCGAAAGCAUUUGCCAAGGAUGUUUUCAUUAAUCAAGAACGAAAGUUAGGGGAUCGAAGACGAUCAGAUACCGUCGUAGUCUUAACCAUAAACUAAUGCCGACUAGGGAUCGGAUGAUGUUAAUUUU
rnacentral:rRNA from 1 species